rnacentral:rRNA from 1 species
GGGCCAGACUCCUACGGGAGGCAGCAGGGGGGGAUAUUGGACAAUGGGGGGAGCCCUGAUCCAGCGACGCCGCGUGAGUGAAGAAGUAUCUCGGUAUGUAAAGCUCUAUCAGCAGGGAAGAAGAAAUGACGGUACCUGAGUAAGAAGCCCCGGCUAACUACGUGCCAGCAGCCGCGGUAAUACGUAGGGGGCAAGCGUUAUCCGGAAUUACUGGGUGUAAAGGGAGCGUAGACGGCAGCGCAAGUCUGAAGUGAAAUGCCGGGGCGCAACCCCGGAACUGCUUUGGAAACUGUGCAGCUAGAGUGUAGGAGAGGUAAGUGGAAUUCCUGGUGUAGCGGUGAAAUGCGUAGAUAUUAGGAGGAACACCAGUGGCGAAGGCGGCCUACUGGACUGUAACUGACGUUGAGGCGCGAAAGCGUGGGGAGCAAACAGGAUUAGAUACCCCCGUAUUA